GCAGGGGUAGCAAAGCCUGGUCAAAUGCGCAGGACUUAAGAUCCUGUCUCUUAGUGAGUUCGCCGGUUCAAAUCCGGCCCCCUGCA
rnacentral:tRNA from 1 species